CACACUAACUGAGCAUCUGAGUCAGAGCAGAUUGUAAAAGAAAAUGGCCUUUGGAAUAGACUCUGGGGUUUGCACACCACUAAGAUAUAUUAGGCAAAAAAUUUUAGGAUGAACCAGAGUUGAGAGUUCAGUAUGUUCUUCAUGCUGCAGAUGGCAACUACGUGCCCUGAACUCGUGUGGGGGCAUUUCUGAGGUCACCAGCCAUCCCUGGGGGAAGUGAGUCAGCAAAAGCAAUAGGUCCAACAGUUAUUUAUCCAUUUAUCCAUUAUUUAUCCUGCAUUUUGAGCAGUGAAGACCAAGCCUUCUGCAAUAUGGCCGCUUCUGUAUUGGUUCAUCCAUUUCCAGGGGAAGUGAAACACAAAAUGCCACUCUUUCUGCAGGAGAUCCCUUGUGUGGCUCAGACAGUGAAGAUGCAGAACAACUAGGUGGAGAUCACACAUUCUCCCCAACUCCUUCAAAGUCCAGUCUGAGGAUCAUGUACUUAAAAAUCAGCCCUUGGGCUUCAGGCUUCACUUUUCCAUGCUGGUGACCAUCCUUGUCAUGUGGGUCCAGAAAUAGAGCCUUGAUAAACCUUUAGCCCAACAUUUCUUAUGGCUGAGACACCAGGAGAAGCAGAGCCCAGCAGGUAAUGGGGCAAUGAAAAAAGGGAUUUAACCUACACUUGAGUUCAAAAGGUACAGGGAGAGGUGAGGAACAGAACACAGGAAGGGCAGGAACAAAUGAGCCAAAGAACUACACAAAGAAGUACAAAUGAGACACCAAGCCAUUAUGAGUUGCUCCCUUGGUUUAUGACAGAAUGUGAUGAUUUAGGCCUUUAUCUUGAUUUCCUUGUUAUUUUGUCCUUCUGUCGGCUAUGACACAUGAACCUGGAGAGCAUUUAGGAUGAGCUCUGAGACACAGUUCAGGGCUGCUGCGGUCACUGAAGCUUUAAUUGAAAAUUGCUGAAACAUGGACACCUAGUGGAGACACCCCACUCUGACACUUCUCUUUCCAGUUGAAAUACAAUUUAAAAAUGGACUUUUA